rnacentral:rRNA from 1 species
UAGAUUGACGCUGGCGGCAUGCUUAAUACAUGCAAGUCGAACGGUAACAGGCCGCGGGGAUCCCUUCGGGGUGAACUUGGCGCUGACAAGUGGCGAACGGGUGAGUAAUGCUUAGGAAUCUACCCUGUAGUGGGGGACAACCCGAGGAAACUCGGGCUAAUACCGCGUAAUCUCUACGGAGGAAAGCGGGGGAUCUUCGGACCUCGCGCUAUUGGAUGAGCCUAAGUCGGAUUAGCUUGUUGGUAGGGUAAUGGCCUACCAAGGCAGCGAUCCGUAGCUGGUCUGAGAGGACGACCAGCCACACUGGGACUGAGACACGGCCCAGACUCCUACGGGAGGCAGCAGUAGGGAAUAUUGGACAAUGGGCGCAAGCCUGAUCCAGCAAUGCCGCGUGUGUGAAGAAGGCCUGCGGGUUGUAAAGCACUUUCAGUGGGGAAGACAAACUCGAGGUUAAUACCCUCGGGUCUCGACGUUACCCACAGAAGAAGCACCGGCCAACUCCGUGCCUGCAGCCGCGGUAAUACGGAGGGUGCGAGCGUUAAUCGGAAUUACUGGGCGUAAAGCGCACGCAGGUGGCUGGGUCAGUCGGAUGUGAAAUCCCCGGGCUUAACCUGGGAAUUGCAUUCGAAACUGCCCGGCUAGAGUAUGGGAGAGGGAAGUGGAAUUCCCGGUGUAGCGGUGAAAUGCAUAGAUAUCGGGAGGAACACCAGUGGCGAAGGCGGCUUCCUGGCCCAAUACUGACACUCAGGUGCGAAAGCGUGGGGAGCAAACAGGAUUAGAUACCCUGGUAGUCCACGCCGUAAACGAUGAGAACUAGAUGUCGGGGGGGAUUAGCCCCUCGGUGUCGCAGCUAACGCAUUAAGUUCUCCGCCUGGGGAGUACGCCGGCACGGUAAAACUCAAAGGAAUUGACGGGGACCCGCACAAGCGGUGGAGCA